rnacentral:piRNA from 1 species
UGAAGUUGGUGUAUUUCUUGACUUUUAGA